rnacentral:rRNA from 1 species
ACAGGAUUAGAUACCCUGGUAGUCCACGCUGUAAACGAUGUCGACUUGGAGGUUGUUCCCUUGAGGAGUGGCUUCCGGAGCUAACGCGUUAAGUCGACCGCCUGGGGAGUACGGCCGCAAGGUUAAAACUCAAAUGAAUUGACGGGGGCCCGCACAAGCGGUGGAGCAUGUGGUUUAAUUCGAUGCAACGCGAAGAACCUUACCUGGCCUUGACAUCCACGGAAUUCGGCAGAGAUGCCUUAGUGCCUUCGGGAACCGUGAGACAGGUGCUGCAUGGCUGUCGUCAGCUCGUGUUGUGAAAUGUUGGGUUAAGUCCCGCAACGAGCGCAACCCUUAUCCUUUGUUGCCAGCACGUAAUGGUGGGAACUCAAAGGAGACUGCCGGUGAUAAACCGGAGGAAGGUGGGGAUGACGUCAAGUCAUCAUGGCCCUUACGGCCAGGGCUACACACGUGCUACAAUGGCGCAUACAAAGAGAAGCGACCUCGCGAGAGCAAGCGGACCUCAUAAAGUGCGUCGUAGUCCGGAUCGGAGUCUGCAACUCGACUCCGUGAAGUCGGAAUCGCUAGUAAUCGUAGAUCAGAAUGCUACGGUGAAUACGUUCCCGGGCCUUGUACACACCGCCCGUCACACCAUGGGAGUGGGUUGCAAAAGAAGUAGGUAGCUUAACCUUCGGGAGGGCGCUUACCACUUUGUGAUUCAUGACUGGGGUGAAGUCGUAACAAGGUAACC